UACGGAGGGGGCUAGCGUUUAUCGGAAUUACUGGGCGUAAAGCGCGCGUAGGCGGGCUGUUAAGUCGGGGGUGAAAUCCCGGGGCUCAACCCCGGAACUGCCUUCGAUACUGGCAGCCUAGAGGAAGGCAGAGGCUAGUGGAAUGGCGGGUGUAGAGGUGAAAAUCGUAGAUAUUCGCCGGAACACCAGUGGCGAAGGCGACUGGCUGGGGCUUUUCUGACGCUCAGGUGCGAAAGCGUGGGGAGCAAACAGG
rnacentral:rRNA from 1 species